rnacentral:rRNA from 1 species
ACAGGGCUCUGCGAAGUCGUAAGACGACGUAUAGGGUCUGACGCCUGCCCGGUGCCUGAAGGUUAAAAGGAGGAGUGCAAGCUCCGAAUUGAAGCCCAGGUAAACGGCGGCCGUAACUAUAACGGUCCUAAGGUAGCGAAAUUCCUUGUCGGGUAAGUUCCGACCUGCACGAAUGGCGUAACGACUUCCCCGCUGUCUCAAAUGUGGACUCAGCGAAAUUGAAUUACCGGUCAAGAUGCCGGUUACCCGCGGUUAGACGGAAAGACCCCAUGCACCUUUACUAUAGCUUCGCAUUGGCAUCAGACACAGUAUGUGCAGGAUAGGUGGUAGGCUUUGAAGCGGGGACGCCAGUCCUCGUGGAGCCUCCCUUGAGAUACCACCCUUAUUCUGUUUGAUGUCUAACCGCGGUCCAUUAUCUGGAUCCGGGACCCUGCGUGGUGGGUAGUUUGACUGGGGCGGUCGCCUCCCAAAUUGUAACGGAGGCGCGCGAAGGUUGGCUCAGAGCGGUCGGAAAUCGCUCGUUGAGUGCAAUGGCAGAAGCCAGCCUGACUGCAAGACUGACAAGUCGAGCAGAGUCGAAAGACGGCCAUAGUGAUCCGGUGGUCCCGAGUGGAAGGGCCAUCGCUCAACGGAUAAAAGGUACGCUGGGGAUAACAGGCUGAUGGUGCCCAAGAGUCCAUAUCGACGGCACCGUUUGGCACCUCGAUGUCGGCUCAUCUCAUCCUGGGGCUGGAGCAGGUCCCAAGGGUACGGCUGUUCGCCGUUUAAAGAGGUACGUGAGCUGGGUUUAGAACGUCGUGAGACAGUUCGGUCCCUAUCUUCCGUGGGUGUAGGAUACUUGAGAAGAGUUGCCCCUAGUACGAGAGGACCGGGGUGAACGAUCCACUGGUGGAUCUGUUGUUGCGCCAGCAGCAGUGCAGAGUAGCUAUGAUCGGACAGGAUAACCGCUGAAGGCAUCUAAGCGGGAAGCCCCCUUCAAAACAAGGUAUCCCUGAGAGCCGAGGUAGACCACCUCGUCGAUAGGCCAGAGAUGUAAGCGCCGUAAGGUGUUCAGUUGACUGGUACUAAUGGCUCGAUAGGCUUGAUUUG